rnacentral:tRNA from 1 species
CCUUCCUUAGCUCAGUUGGAAGAGCAUCAGACUGUAAUCGGUUACGUAAUCAUCUGGGGGUCGCCCGUUCGAACCGGGCAGGGAGGA